rnacentral:lncRNA from 1 species
ACAGAUCCUAGACCUGCAGAGGUGAGGAAGAGGGGAGACAGAUCCUAGACCUGCAGAGGUGAGGAAGAGGGGAGACAGAUCCUAGACCUGCAGAGGUGAGGAAGAGGGGAGACAGAUCCUAGACCUGCAGAGGUGAGGAAGAGGGGAGACAGAUCCUAGACCUGCAGAGGUGAGGAAGAGGAGAGACAGAUCCUAGACCUGCAGAGGUGAGGAAGAGGGGAGACAGAUCCUAGACCUGCAGAGGUGAGGAAGAGGAGAGACAGAUCCUAGACCUGUAGAGGUGAGGAAGAGGAGAGACAGAUCCUAGACCUGCAGAGGUGAGGAAGAGGAGAGACAGAUCCUAGACCUGUAGAGGUGAGGAAGAGGAGAGACAGAUCCUAGACCUGCAGAGGUGAGGAAGAGGAGAGACAGCUUGAUUGUUUAGGUAAUCGGGUGUGUUUUAGUGCUGGGUUGCAACAAAACCCUGCAGCUCUCCAGUGGGACGAGGAGUCAGACCGUUGUAGAAACUUGACCUUAGUUUUAAAUACACAUUUCAGCUAAAGAAUUAAACUCUAUUGUUGUGUUGCUUUAUAGAAGAAUAGGUGGUGUGUGUGUGUGGUGUGUGUGUGGUGUGUGUGGUGUGUGUGUGUGUGUGUCUGUGUGUGUGUGUGUGUGUGUGUGUGUCUGUGUGUGUGUGUGUGUGUGUGUAGGUCUCUGAGGUCCUCUCUUCUUGUUUCAGGUAAAGAGCAGAUCUCUGCAGCCCAGAUCAAGAUCCUAAAGAAACACUCUGAAGCUCUUCAGGUCUCCCCCAUCUCUCCCUCCACCCCUCUCUCUCUCCCCUCUCUCUCUCUCUCUCUCUCUCUGUAAUCUCCUCUCUCUAAUCCUCUCUCUCUCUCUAAUCCUCUCUCUCUCUCUCUAAUCCUCUCUCUCUCUCUAAUCUCUCUCUCUCUCUCUAAUCCUCUCUCUCUCUCUCUAAUCCUCUCUCUCUCUCUCUCUCUGUAAUCUCCUCUCUCUCUCUAAUCCUCUCUCUCUCUCUCUCUCUCUCUCUGUAAUCUCCUCUCUCUCUCUCUAAUCCUCUCUCUCUCUCUCUAAUCCUCUCUCUCUCUCUCUAAUCCUCUCUCUCUCUGUAAUCUCCUCUCUCUCUCUCUAAUCCUCUCUCUCUCUCUCUGUAAUCUCCUCUCUCUCUCUCUCUAAUCCUCUCUCUCUCUCUCUCUCUCUCUGUAAUCUCCUCUCUCUCUCUCUCCCCCCCCCCCUCUCUCUCUCCUCCCUCCUCUCUCAGGCCUUGUAGUCCUGGUCUGAAGCUCCUUGUUCCUGUUAAUCUCCAAAACAUUGUUUGCUCUUUAUCUUUUGUGGAGCAGUUUGUUUUUAAAAGAAAUAUUUCCAAACCGUUUUAAUCUGGUUUUGAUGACAAAAACACGUUUUUGCUAAUUAAAUUCCCCCAGGAUAUCUUGCCUCUUCCUCCUGUCUGCUGGCCUCUUCUUCCUCUGUCCCCUCCUUCCUGUCUCUCUCCCAACUGUGUGUCUAUUUUAUAUAGUUUCAAACACUUUCUUUCUCACACUUGAAGGGGAGAGGGAGGGAAGGAAGGAAGGGGAGAGGGAGGGAAGGAAGGAAGGGGAGAGAGAGAGGGAAGGAAGGGGAGAGAGAGAGGGAAGAAAGGGGAGAGAGGGAAGGAAGGAAGGAGAGAGGGAAGGAAGGAGAGAGGGAGGAGGGAGGGAAGGGUGGAAGGAGAGGAAGAGAGAGAGAGAGGAGGGAAGGAAGGAGAGAGGGAAGGAAGGAGAGAGGGAAGGAAGGGAGAGAGGGAAGGAAGGGAGAGAGGGAAGGAAGGGAGAGAGGGAAGGAAGG